rnacentral:rRNA from 1 species
UGGAGAGUUUGAUCCUGGCUCAGGACGAACGCUGGCGGCGUGCCUAAUACAUGCAAGUCGAGCGAGUCCCUUCGGGGGCUAGCGGCGGACGGGUGAGUAACACGUAGGCAACCUGCCUGUAAGACUGGGAUAACAUAGGGAAACUUAUGCUAAUACCAGAUAGGGUUUUGGAUUGCAUGAUCCGAAACGGAAAGAUGGCGCAAGCUAUCACUUACAGAUGGGCCUGCGGCGCAUUAGCUAGUUGGUGGGGUAACGGCCUACCAAGGCGACGAUGCGUAGCCGACCUGAGAGGGUGACCGGCCACACUGGGACUGAGACACGGCCCAGACUCCUACGGGAGGCAGCAGUAGGGAAUUUUCCACAAUGGACGAAAGUCUGAUGGAGCAACGCCGCGUGAACGA